AUUGUUGGCUGACACCCUUAACUUGAGUUCAAACCCAUACAAAUCAUAUCUUUUUAAGUGAUUUUAACUCUAAUAAUAUUAUGACACAGGUUAAAAUGCAUGCUGGGUCCGCCACUGGCAAGUCCAUCCAUAGCCCAAACGUUCGAGUCAAAGUGAAAUAUUUCUCUUACUUUUUCAGUAUUUCAUUAAAUUACUAGAUCAUAUCAUCUUCCUCAAAAUUUCUUGUUGAAUGAAUCAAGAUAUCGACGAAACACACGAACACAAAAAGGUUUACAUAACGCUGUGUUAAUACAAAAAAUGAAAAAAAAAACACUACUUUAAUUUCAAACGAACUAUAGUAGAGGCCAAUAAUAAAUGACAAAAAUAAAAAUAAAUAAAAGGAUAUAAUAGUAUCAAUAUAAAUGACAUGGAAUUAUACUUUUGAAGUGUUUAACUGGAAAAGGAAGCCAGGUGUCUGCGUGUCCAGACAAAUCAGUCUCCGUUUCUUGUGCCCUACGCAUUGUUUCACAUUAUUGUAUUUCGCUUUCUUUUCUUGUCACUUAAAUACUUCAAAUUAAGAAAGGCUUAGGAAAAAGCCCAGCCCAAAUAGGUUCAUUACAAUAAAGAAUUUCUGAGGAUGGAUAUUUUUUUUUUCGCUAACAUUUGGACUGAGGAUGGAAUUUGCUGACGCAUCCGCUUCCUCGUUGAACUUCCUAACCAUAUGAAAAAAAAGAGAUUGAAACAAAUGCAGAUGCUAGAAGGUGGAUAUCCUUAACGAUUCCCAGUAUUUUUUUCUUCAGCGUCUUGUUGUUGAUUGCUCCAAUGAUCGUUAGGUUGUCAGAGUAGAUCCUGAGAUUCAAUAUCUCUUGAAUCCCUGCCAUGCGAAGUCACUCUCUUACCGCUAGAGCUUCAGCUGUCAACGGCGAGGCAACAUGAUCUUGUAUCGACGAUCCUUGCUUGAUUUUUAUUCCCGCUCCAUCCAAUAGGGUCCAAGCUAGGCCGGCUCUGCGACGAUUUGAAUCCCACGCUGCAUCUGUCUUAAGUAUGGGAACUUGAGGAUUAGAUCGAUCUGGUUCACCGGUGUUGACGUUCUUUGAGCUCAGAUAGUGAAGAUUUUCCUUCACAUACAAGUAGAUUGCGGUCCUUCCAUAAAUACCAACAGAUCUAAAGAAAAACGGUGGUUGCUACUCCUGUGGAGAGAAGGCAGAUUGAUGAUCGGAAUCGUAUCACAACUGUAGCGAAACUAUCUGUUGCAGCUGUGUGAAUUGCUUCUUUUAGAGGUGUUUUUUACCAUACUUUUUUAGAGCACCCGCAAUGGGAGUUUUUAAGGAAGAGUCCGUAGAAAAAAAAUAAUUAAAUAAUUAGCAGAUCCCACCAAAACUUAAGGAUUCAAUCCUUAAAAUCCUUAAAUAAGAACUCUUUUUUAGUGACUCCUUGCACUAUUUGCGGGUCUCCACGACAUGUGGUGACCCGCGAUUGGUUUAUAUAUAUAUUUUUUUUU